rnacentral:rRNA from 1 species
GGUGAACGCUGGCGGCGUGCUUAAGACAUGCAAGUCGAACGCGGUCUUCGGACCGAGUGGCGCACGGGUGAGUAACACGUAACUGACCUACCCAGAAGUCAUGAAUAACUGGCCGAAAGGUCAGCUAAUACGUGAUGUGGUGAUUUGCCGUGGCAAAUCACUAAAGAUUUAUCGCUUCUGGAUGGGGUUGCGUUCCAUCAGCUGGUUGGUGGGGUAAAGGCCUACCAAGGCGACGACGGAUAGCCGGCCUGAGAGGGUGGCCGGCCACAGGGGCACUGAGACACGGGUCCCACUCCUACGGGAGGCAGCAGUUAGGAAUCUUCCACAAUGGGCGCAAGCCUGAUGGAGCGACGCCGCGUGAGGGAUGAAGGUUUUCGGAUCGUAAACUUCUGAAUCUGGGACGAAAGAGCCUUCGGGCAGAUGACGGUACCAGAGUAAUAGCACCGGCUAACUCCGUGCCAGCCGCCGCAGUAAGUC